GUCAUAGUAGCUCAGCUGGAUAGAGCAUUCGCCUUCUAAGCGAACGGUCGCAGGUUCGAAUCCUGCCUGUGACG
rnacentral:tRNA from 12 species